rnacentral:tRNA from 1 species
GGUUCCAUGGUGUAGUGGUUAUCACUCCAGACUUUGAAUCUGGCGACCUGGGUUCGAGUCCCAGUGGGACCU